rnacentral:misc_RNA from 1 species
CAACUCAACAAGAACCUUGGCAGCAGGAUGUUCAACUUCUAACAUCUUAAGAAUUGUUGCCCCGUCAUUAGUUAUUGUCACAUCACCAAUGUCAUCAACCAGCAUCUUGUCGAGGCCGACAGGUCCGAGCGACGACUUGACAAUGUUGGCAAUCGCCUGGCAAGCCAUCACGUUCUGCGUUCGGACGUCCUGGCCAGACUGGCGGUCGCCGAGGAUGUCCGGGGUCUGGGCGGCGAGAGCCAUUUUCAGCGGCGCGGCGGAGAGAAACCCUAGCUCGAAG